ACAUUUCUGAUUUCUUCGCAUAGCUUUUUCUUUUAUUGUAGUCUAAAUUUUUUCUUUGUAAUAAAAUUUGUACUAGCAUAAUUUUGGAUUUUGCAUGUAGUACUCUUGAAUUAGAUUAUUGUACUAGCAUAAUUUUGGUACAUAAUUGAUCAAUUGACAUUGGUCCAAGUAACAUAAAUAACAUCUAAAUGGAAAUGGAGAGAAUAUUAUUGACUAUUGAUAACUUAAUGUAACUCAUCCAGUAGGUUGAAAAUGACACCAAGUAGUGUUUCAAUUAAGCUCUUUAUUGUUCCUGCAAAUUCUUCAACAAUGUAUACUAUGCAAGAGUUGGAGGAGAAAGCACAUCUGAAUUGAACAAGUUGGAGGAGUAAGCACAUCUGAAUUGAACAGGAAUACGGAUAUGUCCUUAGUGACUAUUGGGCCAACAAUGACAAAGAUUGUUCUGUGCAGAGUGUAAAGUUUCAUGGCAUGAUGGAAUGGAACGUGGUGAGUUUAUGAGUUUGAAU